rnacentral:rRNA from 1 species
ACUCACCACAAUCUUAAAAACCAAUUUAAAUAAAAACACUCACAUAUCUAGCUUCCUUACAAACUUAAAUUCAAAAGUACUUAAAAGGAAAACUUCAAUAACUUAAGGUAGUGAUUAAACCACGUACCUUGUGCAUUAUGGUUUUACAAGCACACAAUUAAUAAUGAAAUCCCGAAUACUACGCGAGCUGCCCCCUCAUAGCUAAGAGCCCACUACCAGUUAUGGCACUAACUCUAGAAAAUGAGGUAGCAGAGGCUACAUACCAUACGCGCUAGACAAUUGCUGGUUAUCGGCAAACCUUAUAAAUUAAACCAUGUAGAACAACCUAUAAUGCUAAAUCUUAGAGGAUAAGCCCUAAGAUUUAAAGCUAACUAUCAAUAAAUGUAAAUCAGUAGGCUUAAAAUCAGCCAACCUUAGUGCUUUACCGCAUUACACACCUAAUUAAUAAUAACUAUGCCCCCUAAAGCUGAUAUUUAAGAAAAAUAAUCACCCUUAAAAUAUUAUGUAAAAAUAAGUAUUAUGUCACUUCCGCCGCCAUACUACCACAGCAAGAGCUUAUAAAGGAACUCGGCAAAUCCUUAUUUCGACUGUUUAACAAAAACAUUGCUUCUUGACCACUUAUAAGAAGUAAUCCUGCCCAG